UGGUCCUACAGCAGGUGUGUUCACUAGUCUGAUAGCAAGUUGGGGGGCAGUAAGGCCGACAGCAGCCGGACUCACAGCAGGUGGGCUGGCAGCAGGUGGUCCUGCAGCAGGUAGGUUGACAGCAAGGGGAGCAGCAGGAAUGGGUCAUGGUGUCAGGUGUGGAGGGUUGGCUUCUGAGCAGAGACAAAUUUCUCAGAAUCUGAAUACCUCUUCUCUACUAGACCUUUUAUACUCUGGUUCCCAAAUUUAGGACCAAUGAACAGAAUUUUCCUUGUUAUUAUUUAUAACUUUUUUCAUGAUCCAUGGAAAAUUGCCUAAGGAGGAAGUGUUCCCUAACUGUUCUGAAAAUAGGAUUAUUCUCCUAGGUAAUAUUAAACCAUAGGAACUUAUUUCCAGAAACGGGAGAAACCAUCAACAUCCAUACCCUUAUUUAAGUGUGAAUCAUCAUUUCUCAAGACAGAAUUCAUC
rnacentral:lncRNA from 1 species